rnacentral:rRNA from 1 species
AAGCAACGCGAAGAACUUACCAGGUCUUGACAUCCGAUGCUAUUUCUAGAGAUAGAAAGUUACUUCGGUACAUCGGUGACAGGUGGUGCAUGGUUGUCGUCAGCUCGUGUCGUGAGAUGUUGGGUUAAGUCCCGCAACCGAGCGUCAACCCUUGUCUUAAUUGCCAUCAUUGAGUUGGGCACUUUAAAGAGACUGCCGGUGUUAAACCGGAGGAAGGUGGGGAUGACGUCAAGUCCUCAUGGCCCUUAUGGGUAGGGCUUCACACGUCAUACAAUGGUCGGUACAGAGGGUUGCCAAACCGCGAGGUGGAGCCAAUCCCUUAAAGCCGAUCGUAGUCCGGAUCGUAGUCUGCAACUCGACUACGUGAAGUCGGAAUCGCUAGUAAUCGCAGAUCAGCAUGCUGCGGUGAAUACGUUCCCGGGUCUU